GAUGAACGCUGGCGGCGUGCCUAAUACAUGCAAGUCGAGCGAAUGGAUUAAGAGCUUGCUCUUAUGAAGUUAGCGGCGGACGGGUGAGUAACACGUGGGUAACCUGCCCAUAAGACUGGGAUAACUCCGGGAAACCGGGGCUAAUACCGGAUAACAUCUUGAACCGCAUGGUUCGAAAUUGAAAGGCGGCUUCGGCUGUCACUUAUGGAUGGACCCGCGUCGCAUUAGCUAGUUGGUGAGGUAACGGCUCACCAAGGCAACGAGGCGUAGCCGACCUGAGCGGGUGAACGGCCACACUGGGACUGAGACACGGUCCAGACUCCGACGGGAGGCAGCAGUAGGGAAGCUUCCGAAAUGGACGAAAGUCUGACGGAGCAACGCCGCGUGGGUGAUGAAGGCUUUCGGGUCGUAAAACUCUGUUGUUAGGGAAGAACAAGUGCUAGUUGAAUAAGCUGGCACCUUGACGGUACCUAACCAGAAAGCCACGGCUAACUACGUGCCAGCCGCCGCAGUAA
rnacentral:rRNA from 1 species